GUGCAAGUGGGAGUUUGGGAGGUGUAUUUAUCUUUUUUAAAAAAUAUUUUUUUAUGCCUGUCAGCCCUGAAUGGACCCUUUAUUAAUGUAUGUUCUGGGACUAACAAAGGCCUGCCUUUGAGCCUGUCUUCUUUAAGUGCGCGCGAUGCUAGGCUUCCUCAGUAGAGGGCGCUGGAGGACACCACAGCUGGAGGAGGGUUCUUGCCGGUUGUGCGGGAACAGCGGCUCAGUAGUAUGGAUGAGACUCAGGAUUUAGAAGGCAAAACAAACACACAAAUAAAAAGGAGAUUAAUUUUGGACCUUCAUGAAUGGUGCCAAAGUGAAAAAAAAAAGGUAAAAGAGGAAGGGACUGAGUGUUGGAUGAAUGUUUAUCUCGGUGCCUGGUACCAUACCUGCCUUACACCCUCAGAAUGCAAGGAAGCGUGUGUCACUAGAGCCAUUUUGCUAAGGAGGAGAUUAAAGCUCAGGGGGGCUGAGCAACUUGCCCAAAUUUGUGUUGCUGGAAAAUGAUAGAAUUGGAAUUGGAAGCCAUACUGUAUCUAAAG
rnacentral:lncRNA from 10 species